UAUCAUUCAAAUUCAAAACCAACCUAAUAAACAUUAUUUCAAGCCGAAAAAUGAGUCAUAAAUAAAGACAUAGAGUGCGAACUACAUAAAAAUAACAAACUAAACAUGCUAAAUAAUAUAAAAAGUCAUUGGAAUAACUUUAUUCAUACUUCGACUCAUAACAAACUUAUAAAAUAAAUAGUAUGGAAUUGAAUAAAAACCUAUACGAUGAACUAAUUAAAACUCGAACGAAACACAAACUCAACUCGACUUGUCGCUCUUUUUCCUCGAAGAAUUGUAUUCUCCUUUGUCUCUUGUGCCUUUCUUUUGUGUUACUGCUCUUUUUUCGCUGAGCUUCCGUUUCUUCCUCAUUUUUUUCCACUCUUUUCUUCUUGGUUUGUGUUUUUUGGGCAUAUGUUCUUCUCUCCGUGCCCUCCUCCUCUUUUUCCUACUAUUUUUAAUCCUUUUUUUUCUUUUUGGUUUUUCUUCUCUGAUUUUUUUUAUCUGAUCUCUUCUUGUUCUCUCUGUAUUUUUUUUUCCUCAGUGUCUAAUUUUCUGAUGUUCAAUGCACGUAGAAUCUGCUUGGGAGUUGGGAGUUACCCCUUAAAAGGGAAGGAAUGUGGGGGAACAGUUAAGGGGAUCAGAUAGUGGGGAGUUGAGAGUGGAUAAUUAUCCUUUUUUUAAAAAAAAUAAAUUAAUUUAUAAUAAGUAAAUAGUAAUAAUAAUAAUAAAAGAAUAUUUACUAAUUUUAUAUUUAAUAAAAAUAAAAUUGGCAAUAAUCUCAAAUAAAUAUAAUUAAUAAAACUACUAGC
rnacentral:lncRNA from 1 species